rnacentral:lncRNA from 1 species
AUGUGCACACCAAGAAAACCAACCACAUUUCAUCUGGUUUCUGUUGUUUACAGAUCCGUAGGUACUGUCUUUCCAGGGGCGGGGGUCAAAUUAUCCAGCGCAGCAGUCUGUGAACAGGGACUGUACUCACAGCGGGCGGCGGACGGCGGGGACGACGGGGGCCCGGGGGGAACUGCAGCCUGGAAGACCAGAGCACGUUCCCACGGUGACAGGCCUCCACGGCCCGUGUCCCUCCGUGAUCCGAGAACACCAUGUAAUGGUUGGAGCAGCACAGCAGAAAGGGGCAGCUGCCUCGACCAAGGGAGCCAGGGCUGGAGGGGCGCAGAGUCGGGGAGUCGGGGGGAGUCUGCAGUUUCCUGCUGUUCGAAGCGCACCAUCCCCUCCUCUCCUGCCCCCGGAGCGACAACAGUGACUUUCUUAGGAGACGCAAAGGAAGAAGGUUCUCAAAGGGUGACCUGGAAACCCUGGUUGCUCACAGGCACUGUUCCCUUCCCCUGCGGCCGUCCCGUCCCUGUCCCCGUGGUGGUGAGUGGAGGACCAGAGCUUUGUGGGCACAGCCGGGAGCCCCGCGGAGCCGGCUUCUCCUGCUGCAGCUGCUGCCCUGUCUUCCCGCUGCCCUUCCCGCUGACCCCGCGGGCCUGGGUUCACGUGCUCGCAGGGCCGAGACGAUGGCCACAUGCUGUGAGGACAGGCAGCGUGGAGCGCGGAGGCCAGUCCAGGGCCUGUGUCCUCGAGGGCCACCCACUCUCACACUGGCAGCAGCACUGGGGGCCGCCUGGGCCGGCCCAGCCUCCAGCCCCUGCUGGGUCAGCCCCGCCAGCCCGCCACCGUCCUGAGGGUCGGGGCUCCUGUGGCCCCGGCUCCUGGGGACUCCGUCCAGCCUGGGCCGCUGAGGAGCCCUGGCCGAGUGUGUGGUUGGUCUGUUUUGGGGUGCCCCUCCCCUCCGAGAUGGAUGUGCCCCAGACACCUUUCCCAGCCCAGCCUGUCACCCCGGGCAGCUGGCCCCCAAAGCCGGUCUGGCUGCAGCCAGCAGCGGGGGAGGGGGGGUGGCAGCCGGGGAGGGUCCUCUCCUGACCGAUUUCUCCCCCGGAGGGAGGAGCCUCCACAUCUGCAGAGGAGGAGGGGAGCACUGCCCCCGCGCUGAGCUGGUGGAGGGGUGCUGGGUGAGCCGCUCAGAGCCGGAGGCGGGCCGCGAGGCAGCCUGGAGCGCCCUAAGGUCAGUCAGUUUGCCUGAGUCCCCCUGGGGAGAUGCAGGAGCAGCCACACCCCGGGAGAGGGGUCUAUAGCACUUUGAGCCGACAGGGUCGGUGCAUGAAAAGAUCCCACAAACCCGAGGCAGAUCCACAGCCCCGUGGACACACGGGCGGCAGUCGCGGGCAGAC